CGGCAUAUGACAGAUUUUAAAUACAUGUUUAAACGUUGUUUUCUGUCAGUUUCAUUAGAAUGGAGAUAACAAUAUUGUAUUUUAAGCUCCGAUGGCAUCAAUUUGGGAUUUGAUGGUCGCAAAUACCCGUUUACUGUCUCCGCUAACGUGUCGCCAGUAAACUUAAUUUGCGACCAUCAAAUCCCCAAUUGAUGCCGUCGGAGCUUAAAAUACAAUACAGUUAUCUCCUAAAU
rnacentral:lncRNA from 1 species